UUUUUAUUCACUGAUCUCAUUUUAUAAUUUGACUUAAACGUUUUCUCCUUUUUGACAGAUCAAAGAGACCAAUUCAGAGUCUGAAAUGGAAAACUGGGUUGAUUAUGUUGAUGAUAGACCUACCAAUGACAUGAGAUAUCCAAUGAAGUCAGAAAAAAUACAUGGCUUAGGAUGGAGACCUAAAGUACCUUGGAAAGAAGGAA